CCCUGGGUAAGUCGGGACCUAAGGCGAGGCCGACAGGCGUAGUCGAUGGACAACGGGUUGAUAUUCCCGUACCGGCGAAGAACCGCCCAAGCUAAUCCAGUAGUGCUAAGUGUCUGAAUCCCAGUGACUGAUCCCUUCGGGGUGACGCGUUGGGCCUAGCGCACGACCCCAUUCUGGUGCGGUUAGCGUAUUAACAGGUGUGACGCAGGAAGGUAGUCCAAGCCAGGCGAUGGUUGUCCUGGUGCAAGUGCGUAGGCCGAGAGAUAGGCAAAUCCGUCUCUCACAUAGGCUGAGACACGAUGCGGAUAAAAAGUGGAUGAUCCUAUGCUGCCAAGAAAAGCAUCGACGCGAGGUUCUAGCCGCCCGUACCCCAAACCGACUCAGGUGGUCAGGUAGAGAAUACCAAGGAGAUCGAGAGAAUCGUGGUUAAGGAACUCGGCAAAAUGCCCCCGUAACUUCGGGAGAAGGGGGGCCUUCGACGUAUUAGGACUUGCUCCGAAAGCGUUUGGAGGCCGCAGAGACUAGUGGGUAGCGACUGUUUACUAAAAACACAGGUCCGUGCCAAGUCGCAAGACGAUGUAUACGGACUGACGCCUGCCCGGUGCUGGAAGGUUAAGAGGACCGGUUAGCCGCAAGGCGAAGCUGAGAAUUUAAGCCCCAGUAAACGGCGGUGGUAACUAUAACCAUCCUAAGGUAGCGAAAUUCCUUGUCGGGUAAGUUCCGACCUGCACGAAUGGCGUAACGACUUCCCAACUGUCUCAACCGCGAACUCGGCGAAAUUGCAUUA
rnacentral:rRNA from 1 species